rnacentral:misc_RNA from 1 species
AGUCGUGCGUCGUCUGUAGCGAAGAGAAGACACAGGAAACAGACAAAUAAAGAAGGGAGGCAGCGUGACAGAUUUUUGGACUCGUCAAACGCCGAGAGAAUCUUUAAUCUUCACCAUGGCUGCUUUUGAUGAUAUAAAACAGCUGGCUCACCCUUAUCACAUGCUAAAUUUGAUGAUGAGUCUCAGCUUCUUGACGGCUAAAUUUACGCCGGUUUUGUGUGAAAUUCUCUUUCCCGAAGGCGAUUGUGGGGAGCUCACUAUGUGGGAAUCUGAAGUGAUGUUCUUCAUGAUUGUCAUCAUUGCCUUCAGAACCCGCAAGAGUGGGAGCAGGACCAUGCUUGCAUAUAUCUCUGUUGCGUCCACAUAUGCUAAACUCUGCAAUGUUCUCCUGUGGUUCAGUGCUGAUCCUGUGUAUGGCAUUCUGUAUCUUGUGUUUGCCAUCACUCAUUUCCUCCUGGUUGGAGAACCUGUAUAUCAAGGGCCCGAGAAUCUGACUUACUUCCAAGGCAAAGAGUUGGACGAGGAGCUGCAGCGAGACAAGAAUACGGUGUGGCUUAUCACCUUCUACACCGCAUGGAGCCCUGCUUGCUCAAGUCUGGCACCCAUAUUUGCAAAGCUCUCAGCCCAAUAUGCCCUCGACAACCUGAAAUUUGGUAAGAUUGAUGUAGGGCGUUAUCCUGAUGCAGCAAAAAAAUACCACAUCAACGAUUCAGCAUUUUCUCUUCAGCUCCCAACCAUUUCAAUCUUUAAGAAGGGGACUGAAGUUGAAAGACGGCCUUGCUUGGAUGCCAACGCCAAGUUCCAGAAAUUUUACUUCACAGAGGAUAAUAUUAAGGCUUCCUUUGAUCUGAACAAUUUGUACCUCCAGUGUAAGAAGGAUCUAGAGGCAAAGAAAGGGAAGAAGGAAGCUCAUGUUAAAGCAGAGUAAAGCAAAAAGACAAUACAGUGAUAUGUUUGAAGAAGUUGUACAUCAUUUUACCUAAGACAUUUUUUUAAACCAGAUAUGGUAGUUUUCAUAUACCAAGCUUGAUGUAAUGAUGGCAACAAUCAGAUUAUAUAUAUAUAUUUACUAAUCAGUGAUCUACAACUUAUUGAGCAAUCACUGAAUUCUCCCAAAUAUUUGAGUAAAGCAAGGAACUUAUUGUGAAUUAUAUUCCUUCAUAAAAUAAGGUUAUCCCUAACUGUGAAAAAAGGCAAAGGCUUUGAAAAAUAGUAUGUGCAAUUGUUAGUUUUCCAUAUUGUCCCAUUAUAUUCAAGAAUACCAAAGUUCAGUGUAUGAAGUUACAUAUCCUGUAUUGUUCCCAUGUGUCAGAGUUGCAUGAACCAAAAGCUUUUGAAAGGUUGUAUGACUGAAAUUCCACAUAUAAAAAGUUGUUCUCAUUAAAAUCAUUGCUGUGAAGGGAGUAUGCAUUGAGUAUCAUGUAACUGUAGUUGUAAUUCAUUUUCAUGCUCAAAUGUUAGAAGCUUCAGAAGAAAUAGUUUACAGAACCUGUAGUAUUAUGAUGGUUAUUUUUAUUUCUUAGUAUAUUACAUGCUUGUUCAUCACAUACUGGCCAUUUAUCUAAAAUACUAUAUGAUAAAAUAGUCAUCUAAUGCAUACUGGUUAACUAACUGUAAACAUGAAGUGUACUGUACUUACAUCCAUUAGGCAUAUCUUACUGCUGGUUAUUUUAAUAAUUUGCUUGUAAACAGUGCAUUCACAGCUUUGUUGUGAAAUAGCAAGGCAUAUCAUUAUUAUUCACUUUUGCCCAGCAUAUAGCUUGUUAAUCAAAAGGUUUGAGUAUGAUAUAUAUAAAUUUUGAAAAAGACAAGCUAUUUGCCUUUCAUCAGCACAUCUCCAAGUUUUGUUACAAGUUGUAUAUAAGAUUUAUUAAGAUGAUUUUCCAUGUUUGUGCUAAUUUGCAGAUAUGGUUAAUUUAUCACAUAAACUUUUGUAAUAAAGAUUAUUUGUGCCA